rnacentral:rRNA from 1 species
CUCUGUGACUCCUACGGGAGGCAGCAGUGGGGAAUAUUGCACAAGUGGGGGAAACCCUGAUGCAGCCAUGCCGCGUGUGUGAAGAAGGCCUUCGGGUUGUAAAGCUACUUUCAGGUAGGGAGGAAGGUAGUGUAGUUAACACCUGCAUUAUUUGACGUUACCUACAGAAGAAGCACCGGCUAACUCCGUGCCAGCAGCCGCGGUAAUACGGAGGGUGCGAGCGUUAAUCGGAAUUACUGGGCGUAAAGCGCAUGCAGGCGGCCUGUUAAGUCAGAUGUGAAAGCCCCGGGGCUUAACCUCGGAAUUGCAUUUUGAAACUGGCAGGCUAGAGUCUUGUAGAGGGGGUAGAAUUUCAGGUGUAGCGGUGAAAAUGCGUAGAGAUCUGAAGGAAUACCAGUGGCGAAGGCGGCCCCCCUCGGACAAAGACUGACGCUCAGAUGCGAAAGCGUGGGGAGCAAACAGGAUUAGAUACCCUGGUAG